CUUCCCUAUGUGCUCAUAGGAGGGGGUUUGGCACCAUAGGCGGGUCAGACGCCGCCUCCCAGAAUCCCAGAUGUGACCUUAGAGAUUAUCCACUGACGCCAGGGGAGAGGAAUGGCCAAGGUCAUCAGCUUCUUAGGCGCUGCAGCCAGGACCACAAACCAGUGACCCUCCUGUGCGGGCAGGGUGCCUCCUCUCACACCGCUCUGAAGAGGGGUGGGCUUAUUACAGGACAGGCUGCUACUGAACACUGUAACCGUGGCAAAACCUCACACACUUCUUGGGGAAAAGGACCCAGCACGUAUGUGGGAGCUGGACUUCAUGGCCGCAGAGUGUCUUCUGAUUCUGAAGGGAGGAAAAGGGAAGCUUCUCUGCUGGUGCCAAGUCACUUCAGCGACCCAAACUGGUGAGAGUUCGGAAGGCAAAACCCGCUUCUUCCUUCUUUCUCAGAGCAGUGUUCUGCAGUUAAGCGCAGGAAGGCUGCGGGGAGCCAAAGUGGGCCAGGAGGGCGUCGCCCAAUGCAGAUUCUCUUGCGAGCUGUUUUUGGGGUGCCCCAGGCCCUCUUGGCUUUAAUCCUGGGUCCGCUGUAAAGAAAUCUCUCACUAAAUCACGACGAAGGAUUUGGUUAGUAACAGGUGAUGCUCCCUUUGGAGGCCUCUACGAUCAUCUUGCUGGAUUUAAAAAUCUACACCUGCAUGUCUUAGCAUUGUUGGAGAUGAUCUUUAGAUCUGUCCUGCUUAACAGACAAACGAGAUAACGGUGAGACAGCGUGGUGCUGGACAGGACAUCAGUGGUCUGGGGGGGGACGAGGUCGGGGGUUUUGCUGAUGUUAAAAAUGACUGUUUGCUCAGGACCCUGUGUUCUUCACUCACACCUCGAGCUGAUCGGCCACAGGCGUCUUGCGAAGCUGGCUUUGCUUAGGAAGCCUUCUUCCCUCCAUUCAGCAAGCACUCAGUGCAGGUGCUGGGCUUGUGGGGCGGGGCAGCGGGGGGAGACCCCACAGUCCCUGCUGCCCAGGGAGGGGCAACUGUCCUGUGGUCACCGCCGGGCAGGCGGCGGGGCCCACAGAGGGUGCCGCUCUGAUGUGCGGCGCCAGAGCUGCCGCCACCCACCUCCUGGAUGCACUGGGCACCCGAGCAGAGCUGACACCAAAAGCGCCGAUUUACUGGGCCUGAAUGGUGCUCGGCCCUGGGCUGAGCGCUCACACACGCCUCCCAGUUUAUUCCCCACAGUUACCCAGUGAAGCAGCAGCUGUUACCUCCUCUGCUUUCCACGUGGGGAAACUGGGUGCAGGGGUGAAAGUUCUUUUUCUGGCCUGGCUAGUAUUUUCCCCGGUUUAAGUCUUCCUUUCUGAACGCAGUAGGACUGAAGUUAGCGUGAGGGCCUAGGGGUGGUGUCCUUGGUGUAUCCUGGGGGAGUUGACUCUCCCCCCCCGAAGAUGUCCUUUUACAGUGGUUCAGGUGGCCAGGGUGACGGACUUUCAGUGCUGAAAUUGGGACAGUCCCAGGCAAACCAGGACGGUCGGUUCCUCCAGGGAGCCUGGAGCUGUGGAUUUCUCCAGGUGGCCUCUGAGAUCCUUUCAGUAACGCCUGAAGGCCACCUCCAGCCUGGUGGCCCCGCUGUCUGUCCCUGGCCAGGGCCUUCUGAGGCUCCUCACAGCUCUUGCUUGUCAAGGUCAAUCAUUAAGCCCACUGAGCCUAAAGAAUGCGGCAUAAAAGCUAAGCCUGCUGACCCCAUUAGUCUAGGGAAGUGGACCAGAAGUUUAUUGGAUGUCUAAAUAUUUAUGGAGAGCAACGACUGCUAAUUUUAGAAACCAUUAGGUUGCUAUAUUUAAACUUGUGCUUGAAGGAUUUGCUAAUUUAAGAAGUGAGUGUUAAUGAGCCCCCAACUCCCAGACCCCAGCCCCCCACCCCUUUCCCCCUAGUUACCAGCAGCUGCUACUGGUGUUAGGUCAUAAUUCAACUUCCCAGCAACCACUUUUCACUUUGGGGCCAUUCGAUGCAAAAACAACCUCAAGCCAGCGAAUCUCCUUGGAAACCACAUAAAACUCAUCGCUGAUGCUUCGGAAGGAACUUGCCCAAGCAUGGCCUCCAGGAGGGGCAGCGUGUGGAGGGUCCAGCUGGCCUGCAGUUGGCUUCGUCCACGGGUUGCCCUUUUCCUGCAGACGUGCGUGUGCUCGUGGAAACAUUUGCUAGAGAGAUGUGCGUCCAAGACAAAUAUGGUUCUAAGAAUCAGGUUCCAAAAAGACCUCGACAGGCGGGGUGGGUGGGGCUGUGUGUAACAAGACGACGCAUUGCAGGAACAGACAUCGGGCCUAGCGUUUGGGUUCACAGAGCCCCCAAAGCACGCUCCUGGGUGGGCAGUAUGUGGCUGUCACACCUGUGAGCAGGAUUUAGGGCAGUCCUUCCCAGUGGCUGCUUCUCAGGAUGCCGUGCUGGCAGGAAGUCUCGUGGAAGACAGAAAUGCCAGCUAGGUUGGAGAAGAUCUGGUAACUAACUGUAGGACUUCUCAUCGCUGGUAAUAUGCAAACAUAACUGGGAAUCUCCCAGAAAAGUCUCGCGUGUGGCAUCUCCUAAGCUUAUUUGACUGGAGACAUCCUCCCCCGACUCUGCCAAAGGACAGCUUAAAGUCAAAUCACUUAGGCAAGUGGACUUAGAGGAUGGAAGUCUGUUGCAAGUUUAAUGGAGCAGUGAUGAGAUAGGGUUGAUUAAAAAAAAAAAAGAUAAUUUUGAUUUUGGGGAGGGUUGAAUGAGCACAAAUAGGACGGCCAGCAAGAUGCUCUGAUGUGCCCCCAGUAGAGUCUCAGCAAACCCCAGGGCUGUAAACUAAUGUGAAAAUCUGUGAAGGGCAGCUGUGAAAAGCACCAGGGCUGCUGUCGCCCCUUACACUGGAUCUGGUUUUAUGAGCACCAGAUCUGAAAGGCGAGGGUUUUUUUUUUUCCAUAUAAACUUUUAUGUUGUCUCCUUCCUCUGUUGUCCAUGAGCUACAUUUUUUUAAAGGAAGGAAUUCAAAACAAACAAAACAAAACAAAGAACACGAGGCAGGAACCCAGAGCACAUGGUGGAUUUUCUCCCAGCCUGCCUGGACCCCAGCUGUGUCAACUUUGGAGCUUUGCCUCUGAAUUAGGCAUCAUUUCAACAGCAGUGACCGGUGGGGAGUGCCUCACCGGGAUGAGGGACAGAUGGGCUGUUUGCCCGGCCCCUACUCCUACUUCUCUACUGCCCCGUGUCCCUCGGCCCCUACUAUGAAGAGCUCUGCUACGGACACGUGUGUCCUUUGUCUUUUCCACACGCACUGCUGAAGGGAAUGUCAGCCCCGGGGCAGGAGCAGGUUGUACCCUGAGAGACAGGGCCCCAGCCAGGUGUGUGGAAGGUUCUAUACCCACAACCACCUGGGCAGAAGAGUUGGAUGAUUUGGCCUCCCGAACCUCAUUUCAGCUUCUGACCAGCCUGCAGUCGGAGUGGAUUUAGAGCCGGUUGGGAAUGGGCCAUCCCAUGUAUGGCUGCCCCACGGCCUCCUGACACAUGUUGGAUCAACUGUGGAGACAGCUUGGACUUUGUUUCCUAGAGCUUUGUCGGAAAAAUGAAGAGCUGCCUUUUAAGGAAGGUGGUCAUUGGACUUUGAAAGAAUGCAGAGUUGCCUCAACUUUGAUGUUCAGCAGUUGAAGAAAAUGUCUGGUUCAAAAAAUUGUAAUGCUGAGAGGGAUAGAUUGGGAGUUUGGGAUUGACAUGUAUACACUGCUAUAUUUUAAAAAGAUGACCAACAAGGGUCUACUGUAUAGCACUGGGAACUCUGCUCAAUACUCUGUAAUAAUCUAAAUGGGAAAAGAAUUUGAAAAAGAAUAGAUACAUGUAUAUGUAUAACUGAAUCACUUUGCUGUACACCUGAAACUAACACAAUAUUAUUAAUCAACUAUACUCCAAUAUAAAAUAAAAAAUUUAACCAAAA